GACGAACGCUGGCGGCGUGCCUAAUACAUGCAAGUCGAACGGUUUAGUUCCAAGAGGCUUGCCUUUUGGAACUAGACAGUGGCGGACGGGUGAGUAACACGUAGGCAACCUACCUGUCAAACCGGGAUGACCUCGGGAAACCGAAGCUAAACCCGGAUAAGCUCCUUUUUCGCAUGAAGGGGGAGUGAAAAGGUGCGACCUGAUGACAGAUGGGCCUGCGGCGCAUUAGCUAGUAGGUGGGGUAACGGCCUACCUAGGCGAUGAUGCGUAGCCGACCUGAGAGGGCGUACGGCCACACUGGGACUGAGAUACGGCCCAGACUCCUACGGGAGGCAGCAGUAGGGAAUCUUCGGCAAUGGGCGAAAGCCUGACCGAGCAACGCCGCGUGAGUGAGGAAGGCCUUCGGGUUGUAAAACUCUGUUGUUUGGGAAGAAGGGAAAGGGUAGGACCCUUAGGUGACGGUACCAAACGAGAAAGCCCCGGCUAACUACGUG
rnacentral:rRNA from 1 species